rnacentral:tRNA from 1 species
UAUAUUUUAAUGUAAGUGUUGCAUAAAAAUUUUUGAAGUUUUUUGUAAUAGUUAAAGUCUAUUAAAUAUAA